AUGGCGGCUAAUGGUGGGCAUGGCAGUGGGAAUCACCCAUUGCGCUGGACAUCUCCAAUGUCUAGGUUCAUGUUACGUUGCUUUGUAGAGAUCAUUGCUAGUGGAGUGAAGACGGAAAAGGGCUUUAAGGAGGUGCACCUAAACCAGGUGGCUAAGAAUUGUAGUGAGCACUUUGGCCUUUCCAUAACCGGGACCCAAGUGUACAACCACCUCCGCAAGUGCCGUGCUAGGUGGGUGAAGAUAAGUAAGCUCCGAGACAUUAGUGGGUCACUUUGGGAUGAUAACAAGUAUGUCAUAUUGCUGGAGGAAGAGCACUACAUGGGCCAUAUCAAGGACCAUCCCAAAGAUGUUGAGUACCUCAAUGUGCCUUUAGAGAAUUAUGUUCAGAUGCUUUCUAUCUUUGGAAGUGUUAUUGCUAUAGGAAGGUAUGCAAUGACAUCUAAUGAGGCUCUUGGGGUUCCUUCAAUGGUGGGAACAUCCUCAUCAUUUGUAAACCUUGAAGCUUGUGGUUCUGAAUUUGUUGUUGAUGGGAAUGAACCUGGCUUGAGUGCUAGUGCUGCUGCUCAUGGGGAAACUACUGCUGCUCCUCAUGGGAAGGAACCAUGUAAGGAUGCGUCUAGCUCCACUGGCAAAAGGAAAGAUGGCUAG
rnacentral:rRNA from 1 species